rnacentral:rRNA from 1 species
UAGCCGUAAACGAUACUCGCUAGGUGUCGGCCACGGUGCGACCGUUGUCGGUGCCGUAGGGAAGCCGUGAAGCGAGCCACCUGGGAAGUACGGCCGCAAGGCUGAAACUUAAAGGAAUUGGCGGGGGAGCACCACAACGGGUGGAGCUUGCGGUUUAAUUGGAUUCAACGCCGGAAAUCUUACCGGGACCGACAGCAACAUGAAGGCCAAGCUGAAGACUUUGCCGGAUUAGCUGAGAGGUGGUGCAUGGCGUAG